UACAGAGGUCCCAAGCGUUGUUCGGAUUCACUGGGCGUAAAGCGUGCGCAGGCGGUUUUGUAAGCCAGAUGUGAAAUCCCCGGGCUUAACCUGGGAAUGGCAUUUGGGACUGCAAGGCUGGAGUUUGGCAGAGGAGACUGGAAUUCCUGGUGUAGCAGUGAAAUGCGUAGAUAUCAGGAGGAAUACCGAUGGCGAAGGCAGGUCUCUGGGCCGAUACUGACGCUGAGGAGCGAAAGCGUGGGGAGCAAACAGG
rnacentral:rRNA from 1 species